UACGUAGGGGGCAAGCGUUGUUCGGAAUUACUGGGCGUAAAGGGCGCGUAGGCGGUACGACAAGUCUGGUGUGAAAGCCCGGGGCUCAACCCCGGAAUGUCGUUGGAAACUGUCGAACUUGAGUGCGGAAGAGGCAACUGGAAUUCCCAGUGUAGCGGUGAAAUGCGUAGAUAUUGGGAAGAACACCUGAGGCGAAGGCGGGAUGCUGGGACGACACUGACGCUGAGGCGCGAAAGCGUGGGGAGCAAACAGG
rnacentral:rRNA from 1 species